rnacentral:tRNA from 1 species
CACUCAGCCAUCUUUCC